UAUUCAUGAAUUUGUCCAAUCGGUUGUUAAACAGUUUUUCUAAUAUUUUAGAAAAUUGUGAAACUAAAGAAACAAGUCUGUAGUUGUUCCAGUGCAAACAAAAGAAAUAAACACGUGAAUACCAAAGCAUUUGUAAUUUCAAUUUUCUGGGAGAAGCGGUGCAUUAUCUGACAUAAAUGCAGGUGUGCCAAUAUUUUUGGCCACGACUGUAGUCUUAGAAAUGUUCAGUGUGCUCCACUCCUAGGAGACAUUGAUGGAUUUUCAUAUUCUUAGUAUGAAAACACUUAACAAAUAAUAGACACAAAGCCAAAUGUAGUUAUUUGGAAUAAUAAUGUUUAUUUUUGACUGUCGUUACUCAGCAGUGUAUUUCCAUUGUAAUAUUUACAAUUAAUAGUCAUGUGUGAUUAUUGUGAGAUAAAGUUGAGUAACAUUGAAGGGAUUGAAACGUCGCUUCUGGGUGACGUCAUCUGAGCGCGACCGUCCUCAGUAUGUUUUCCCGUUUCAGAGCUAACAGCUGCACCGACCGUGCUUUGGAUUUUGUUUCCGUCCCUCCACAACGCGUCGGUGUCAUGAGGUAGGAGAAACGGCAACAUUUAAAUUUUAAAAAUAACAAUGUCCACUCGGUUCUUUGUGACACGUCAUAUCUGCCCCCUUUGACAGAACGUGUGUUAGCGAACAGGCUAACAGAUAGCUUCCUGGCGCUAUCACCAUGUUAUGACGUUGGAGUGCAGUCAAAAACUGCGCAUCGAUGCAACGACGCUCAGAUAUAAACGACGCGGCCUGUUAUGACCAUAAAUGUGUUUUAAAGUAGCUUAUUCUUGGAAUGUGUCACGUAUACUUGUUGUCUUUCAGCUUUGGAGGCGAUUCCUAGGCUGGAUGAUGCACCGCUGUCGGUCUCUGGUCAAAUGUACACACCCUCCCUUUGAGGCCAUUUACAUAACAUAAUGAUCUUAAUAGAAUGUUUGCUUGUCAGGGCCACAUGCCUUAGGACAAUUACACUAUCCUAUCAUGGCAUCUGACAUGUCUUGGAUCGGGAGCAUAAUGGGGAAUUCAUAGCUCUCCAGUGUAGUAGUUGUCAUGUCUAUAGUUGAAAAGCCCCCAGAGAUACCUUAAACUGGUGUUAAUGGGGCCUCACUCGUCAGUACCAGAAUUGGCCCCUCAGUCAGUUCUCCAGUAAACUCAUGACGGAGUACUGCGAGGAGGGGGGGCUGUUGUAUGAGCAAUCACCUCCCAUGCACAUCAAAGUGGAGUCUCCCGAGGGACACUCUGGAGAGGGGGCGUCUGACAACGGCUUCCCCCGGGAUGACGACGACUCGGAAGACAGCUGUGACCAGAGCAGUGGCGUGCGUGGGGGUCUGCUGCCCUUCAACGUGGUAGUGGUGCACCCCAACUUGAUGGCGCCUGGCAUGUCCUCAGACGACCUCAUGUCAAUUGAGCAAAACAGAGCAAUGUCUGCUGCACUGGCAGCCAACGGUGCAGGGAAAAGAAAGAGUCGCUUCAGCGGCGCCGAGCUGGAGGUACUGGUGUCAGAGGUCACCCAAUGUGAAGGGGAACUAUUCGGCCCGGCGGGGAGGCUCCGACGGCGGGAGCGGGAGCGCAUAUGGGCCGGGAUCCUCGAGAGGGUCAAUGCCGUGUCCAGGGUGCCGCGUACGCUCCGUGAGGUUAAAAAGCGUUGGGAUGAUCUAAAGAGACGCAACGGGGGCCGGCUAGCGGACGCCCGCCACCGCAGCUGGUCCUUGCCGCCCAGCAAGGUGUCGAUGCUCGGACAGUCCUCCCAGUCCAGCCCCAGGCUUCAACACGGCCGGCAAAAUCAAAACUCCAGACCGAGGCCAAGUUUCCCAUGUUUCCCUGAAUCUGACACAGGUAUUGGAGGAGAGGGGUCUGAGAGAGACUGUUUAGAAAAAGAUGAGGACAAUCCGGAGCACGAGAGAGAUGUGGGAGAGCCAGACUGCGAACAUGAGGAAAACAGCAUGGAGGACAAACUAGGAUUAGGACUUGGUCUGGGCAUCGGACCACCUCCACCCUCAGAACGAUGGCUGCCUCCCUCCCCACUCUACAGCGCCCCUUUUCUAAACGGCAGCCCUCAGCCCAGCAGUCCUCAGCCAUCACUGGGUGCACAACAGGGUCCGUUUGAAGCCCCGCCUCGCAGCUCCUGGCUUGAAGAUGAGCUGCGGGGGUUAGGAGAAGCGGCAAUUCAGCUUGGGAACCGCAUGGAGAAGAGCCUACGGGAAUUCGCAGAGUGUUUCACCCAAGACAUGAGAACACUUGUGGCUUCUCAAGAGGCGUUGGCACUCAGUCUACAGCAGAACAACGUCCUCCUGCAAAGGCUGUUAGGAGUGCUGGAGGCCCAGCAGCAGCAGCAGCAACGGAUACAGCAGACGCGUCAGUCGCAGACAUCGCAGGUGGCUCAGACACAGCAGCAAUUGCAGCAGAUGGAAAUACCCCAGCCAGUACAACAUCAGCAGCAUGCAGUGCAACAACAACAACCAAAACUACAUCUACAGCAUCCAAACAGUCCUUCCGCUGGAACCAUGGUCCCUUCGCCAUUGCUACCUGACGCUCGAGCCACUUUUGCCUCUCAUCCCACCACAGACUUAAAUGGGAGCGUGCCGAAAACACGGCGAGGGAGAGCUUUCGAUCACAGGCGCAGGAGACGACGCUAAGAACAAAAAAAGGAGAGAGAGGGUCGCGGGGGGUGCUGGAGCCUAUCUCAGCUGCAAUCGGGCGGAAGGCGGGGUACACCCUGGACAAGUCGCCACCUCAUCACAGGGCCAACACAGAUAGACAACAUUCACACACUAGGGACCAUUUAGUGUUGCCAAUCAACCUAUCCCCAGGUGCAUGUCUUUGGAGGUGGGAGGAAGCCGGAGUACUCGGAGGGAACCCACUAUCCUGUUUUGUCAAUAGUUACUGUACAUAUUGGGAUUUUUUUCAUUUAUUGAUCGGUAAUCGCACACAAUACGAUAAGUAACUUUGAGCAUAGUUUUCCACCUUAAGUGCUUUGAGAUAACAUCUGUUCAGAAUUUGCGCUAUAGCAACAAACUUGACCAGCUGGUUUCAUACUUGCCAACCCUCCCGAUUUUCCUGGGAGAGUCCCGAAUUUCAGUGUCCCUCCCGAAAAUCUCCCAAAGCCACCAUUCUCACAAAUUUCUCCCGAUUUCCACCCGGACAACAAUAUUGCUAAACCAUCCUUCACUGGGCGCCGUUUCCGGCCGGACAAUAAUAACGGUUACACCUCGAAGUCAAGCGCAGCAAUCAGAACAGAAGACGAAGUAGAAGAAGAGACAUGGCGACGACGAGUAAGAAGAAGUACGCUUGCAAGUUCCAAAAUGAUUGGAAAAAAGAAUUUCAGUUCAUCCAGGACAGCUCGAAGGGGAAGGGGUAUGCUGCCUGCAAAUUUUGUAGAUCAGACUUCUCCAUUGAACACGUUGGCCGAACGGAUAUACUCAGUCAUGAACGGUCAGAAACGCAGCACCGGUCACAGCCCAGUAUUAUAGGCCACCUUGCUAAAUGGAGACCCGAGGGUGUAACUUAUGCCGAGACAAAGAUGGCUAUGCUGAUAGCUGCAAGCAACAUCCCGUUCUCAUUUGCGGAUGUUUUCAACAAAUCCGUGAAGGAUAUGUUCCCGGAUUCAGAGAUCGCUCGCCAGUACGCAAAUGGCAGAACAAAGGCUAAUCAAAUAGUGAAAGGGUCGCGGGGGGCGCUGGAGCCUACCUCAGCUACAAUCGGGCGGAAGGCGGGGUUCACCCUGGACAAGUUGCCACCUCAUCGCAGGGCCAACACAGAUAGACAACAUUCACACUCACAUUCACACACUAGGGCCAAUUUAGUGUUGCCAAUCAGCCUAUCCCCAGGUGCAUGUCUUUGGAAGUGGGAGGAAGCCGGAGUACCCGGAGGGAACCCACGCAGUCACGGGGAGAACAUGCAAACUCCACACAGAAAGAUCCCGAGGCCGGGAUUGAACUCACGACUACUAUAUAUAUGUAUAUGUAUAUAUAUGUAUGUAUAUAUAUAUAUAUGUGUAUAUAUAUAUGUAUAUAUAUAUAUGUACAGUGUUUCCCAUAAACUGCCAAGAUACCUGUGGCGGUGGGGGCGUGGCUAUGGGCGUAGUCACCAUGACAUCAUCUAGUAAUUUGCAUAAUUUACUACAAUGAUAUGAUUUUCUCUAAAAAGGCUAAAAAAAUUUAUACUUACUAAUUAAUAAUAACGGUUUUGUUUUAAACGUCCAUCCAUCCACUUUACAAUAUAAUUACAACACUUUAUGUACAUAUUUAUAUACAGAUUUGAACAAUAAGUUAUUCAACGAAAUAUAUUUAUUAAUUGUGGUUCUUACAAAAAAUAUAUCUUAUAAAAUAUAAAAGCUAAAAUGUCUCUUAAUUAGUGCAUACUAAAUAAUUUAACUUUAGCCUACUACUACAACCAUAUUAUUUACCAGCAACAUAAAGUGAAACAGGCAGAGGUGCCACAGUCAGUAACAAAUAAUCAGAAAACAGUAGUGGUCUAAUACAAAUAAGGCAACAAGAGAAGUAUCCUACACUUCUCUUUUGUAAAGUAAAUCUGAACAGCCUAUAUGGCAUCUACAUCAACUAUAUGAUUUGCCUAAGAAGCUGGACAGGAAAAAAAACAAUUUUUUUUAAAUUUGUGGUGGACGUAAUUCUUUCGUGGCGGGCCGCCACAAAUAAAUGAAUG